AGAUUUGAUAAUUAUUUAUUUUUUUUUGAAUAAAUUAAAAAUUUAUUAAAAAUAAUUUUAUUAAUUAGCGUUUAAGUAUAUUUUAUAGAAUAAAUAAUUUUAAUAAUAGUAAAUUAGUAUUGUGAAAGAAAUUUGAAAUAUAUUGAAAAUAUAAUUUUUAAAAAGAAAUAUUUAGUUUGUGUACCUUUUGUAUCAGGGUUUAUUAAAUAAUUUUUAUUUAUAAUAAAUUUCUCGAAUUUAAAAGAGUUAAUAAAUUAUAAGAGUUAAUGUAGAAAAAUUAUUUUUAAUAAUUUAUUAGUAAUGAAAUGUUAUUCGUUUUUAAAAAUAUCUAGUUUUUUAAGAAAUAAAUUUAAUUUAUUUAUUUUUAAUAUAAUAUUUUAUAUAUAUAAAAAUAUUAUUUAUUAAUAAAAAUAUAUUAAGGGAUAAGCUUUAAUUUAUUUUCUAUAAUAUUGUAAAUGGAGUAUUUAAUUGUAAGUUUAGAAAUAGCUAUCAGUAAUAAGUUUGUUUUAAUUUAUAAAUAUAAUUUUAUAAUUUUAAAAAUAUUUAGAUUUUUUAUUAAAAUGAUUUUUUUAAUUAAAAAAAUAAUGAAAUAAUGAUAAAAUUAGUAUAAAUUUAUGUUUUUAUAUAAAAAUUAUAAAGAUUAAGUUAAGGAAUUCAGCAAAAUAAUACUCACCUGUUUAACAAAAACAUGUCUUUUUGAAAAUAAUUUAAAGUCUAACCUGCCCACUGAAAUUUUGAAGGGCCGCGGUAUUUUGACUGUGCAAAGGUAGCAUAAUCAUUAGUUUUUUAAUUGAGAACUUGUAUGAAUGGUUGGAUGAGGUAUUAACUGUCUCAAUUUAAUAAAUAAUAGAAUUUUAUUUUUAAGUUAAAAAGCUUAAAUAUAAUUAAAGGACGAGAAGACCCUAUAGAUCUUUAUAUUUUUUUUAAUAAUAAUUUUUUAGUAUAUAUUUAUUUUUAUUAAAUAAAUUAUUUUAUUGGGGUGAUAAAAAAAUUUAUUAAACUUUUUUUGUAAUUAAACAAUAAUGUUUGAAUAUUUGAUCCAUUAUUAAUGAUUAAAAGAUUAAGUUACCUUAGGGAUAACAGCGUAAUUUUUUUGGAAAGUUCUUAUUAAUAAAAAAGAUUGCGACCUCGAUGUUGAAUUAAAGGUAAAUUUUAGGUGUAGAAGUUUAAAAUUUAGGUCUGUUCGACCUUUAGAUCUUUACAUGAUUUGAGUUCAAACCGGUGUAAGCCAGGUUGGUUUCUAUCCUUAAUAAAGAAAAAUAUUUUAGUACGAAAGGACCAAAUAUUUAAAUUAUUUUUUAAAAUUUGAAUAAAAUUAUU
rnacentral:rRNA from 1 species